rnacentral:antisense_RNA from 1 species
CUUGAUCGACCCCAACCAGAGCGGCUCGGUGCGGUCUUGUCCGUAGGUGGCCAGCAAGGCCUGCGCCUC